rnacentral:rRNA from 1 species
GAUGAACGCUGGCGGCGUGCCUAAUACAUGCAAGUCGAGCGAAAAGACGAGGAGCUCGCUCCUUUAACGUUAGCGGCGGACGGGUGAGUAACAAGUGGAUAACCCACUUAUUUGACUGGGAUAACUUCGGGAAAACGGAGCUAGUACAGGCUAAUAUACUGAACCGCAUGGUUCAAUAGUGAAAGACGGUUUUCCUGUCACUAAUAGAUGGAUCCGCGCCGCAUUAGCUAGUUGGUAAGGUAACGGCUUACCAAGGCAACGAUGCGUAGCCGACCUGAGAGGGUGAUCGGCCACACUGGAACUGAGACACGGUCCACACUCCUACGGGAGGCAGCAGUAGGGAAUCUUCCGCAAUGGGCGAAAGCCUGACGGAGCAACACCGCGUGAGUGAAGAAGGUCUUCGGGUCGUAAAACUCUGUUAUUAGGGAAGAACAAAUGUGUAAGUAGCUAUUCACGUCUUGACGUUACCUAAACAGAAAGCCACGGCUAACUACGUG